rnacentral:tRNA from 1 species
GCCCCGGUAGUGUAGUUCGGCCGAGCAUACAAGACUGUCACUCUUGUGACCCGGGUUCAAAUCCCGGCCGGGGCGCCA